UACGUAGGGUGCAAGCGUUAAUCGGAAUUACUGGGCGUAAAGCGUGCGCAGGCGGCUUUGCAAGUCAGAUGUGAAAUCCCCGGGCUUAACCUGGGAACUGCAUUUGUGACUGCAGGGCUGGAGUGCGGCAGAGGGGGAUGGAAUUCCGCGUGUAGCAGUGAAAUGCGUAGAUAUGCGGAGGAACACCGAUGGCGAAGGCAAUCCCCUGGGCCUGCACUGACGCUCAUGCACGAAAGCGUGGGGAGCAAACAGG
rnacentral:rRNA from 1 species